UAAUACGUAGGUGGCAAGCGUUGUCCGGAUUUAUUGGGCGUAAAGCGCGCGCAGGCGGUCCUUUAAGUCUGAUGUGAAAUCUUGCGGCUCAACCGCAAGCGGUCAUUGGAAACUGGGGGACUUGAGUGCAGAAGAGGAAAGCGGAAUUCCACGUGUAGCGGUGAAAUGCGUAGAGAUGUGGAGGAACACCAGUGGCGAAGGCGGCUUUCUGGUCUGUAACUGACGCUGAGGCGCGAAAGCGUGGGGAGCAAACAGGAUUAGAUACCCUGGUAGUCCACGCCGUAAACGAUGAGUGCUAAGUGUUGGAGGGUUUCCGCCUUUCAGUGCUGCAGCUAACGCAUUAAGCACUCCGCCUGGGGAGUACGGUCGCAAGACUGAA
rnacentral:rRNA from 1 species